rfam:Oryctolagus cuniculus chromosome 13, whole genome shotgun sequence.
UUUGCAUCAGUGAAGACCACACAGAAAACCUUUCUGAGGAUUUGUGUGGAUCUGAUAUUUGGCAAA